rnacentral:misc_RNA from 1 species
GGCAAAUACAAGCAGAGCUGGGCUCCUGGAGCGUUGUAUUGAUGAUGCAGCGUGAAGCUUAAAUAAACACACACUCAUACACAGAGUGAAAAAUGCUAGAAUAUUCUCUGCAGGAUUUUAACUGAAAUCUGAAACUGAAAAUACAUAGGAUAUAUGGGCUGUUUAUUGAGUUUGAUCUCCUAAACCUUAUAGGUAGGAAGUUUAGUUAAUCCAAAAUGGGAAUUCUAAUAGAAUAGGAAGACAUAGUCUAAAUCCUAAUUAAAAUAGGAAAAAAUAAAACAAAUCCUAACUAGAAUAGAAAAUACAUUAAUAGAAUAGGAAAUUAAAAUGGAGUAGGAAGACAUUAAAACUAAAUCUGCAGCUUGUCUCACCCCAAAACAGGAAAGUACGUGGCCUGAGUUGGAGAUGCGCCCUAGGUUGUGUUUUCUGGCCAUGGGGCAUACUUCAUUCUGCUCUCCUUGUCACUGCCCAGUAAGGAACAAGCCCUGAGUGUGUUUCUUGGCUCUAGAGCAUGCCAUGGGUAUGUUCUGUUCUGUCCCCAUGAACAUGCUCCGCAUCAAUCUUCCUCCAAUUUUUGUUUUAAUAAUGCUGAUCAUUUUUAUUAUGUUUACAUUGAGUUGGUUUAGCAUAAUAAUGUUUCUUGUUGUGUAACAGAAUGUGGUAUGGUUUCUGUUUGUUUGAAAGAAUCUAUUCUAUUUUUUUAAACCUCAUAAUGUGGAUAUUAAAUAUUUUACUAGAUCUACAAAGUAGAUAAUGCAUGCGCUUUCUCUUAAGCAGAUGUGUAGUUUGUUACUUGGAUUGUUUCUCAGCAAUUUGAGCCUUGCUAAAAUCACAGUGCUCUUUUUUACAGGCUUGGCUUACUACCAUUUCUUUGUCCAUCUGUAAGGUUAGUCUUACAUUCCUUAAAAUUUGUCACAUACAAGAUUUCAAAACCUAUUAAUGUUAUAUCCAUCUUGACACCACUUUUUGGCCAUAUGAGUACUACAGGCAUUCGACCUACUCGAAAUGUUAAAGAAAGAAGAAGAAAUGCUUUCUGCUGUAAAGGAAAGGCAACUUAAGGUAUUCUGUACUUAAUGGCUUGUGGGAUCCAUAUAUCUAUCUGUGUCCUGUGGGUUUUCAG